rnacentral:rRNA from 1 species
GACGAACGCUGGCGGCGUGCUUAACACAUGCAAGUCGAACGGAAAGGCCCUGCUUUUGUGGGGUGCUCGAGUGGCGAACGGGUGAGUAACACGUGAGUAACCUGCCCUUGACUUUGGGAUAACUUCAGGAAACUGGGGCUAAUACCGGAUAGGAGCUCCUGCUGCAUGGUGGGGGUUGGAAGUUUCGGCGGGUGGGGAUGGACUCGCGGCUUAUCAGCUUGUUGGUGGGGUAGUGGCUUACCAAGGCUUUGACGGGUAGCCGGCCUGAGAGGGUGACCGGCCACAUUGGGACUGAGAUACGGCCCAGACUCCUACGGGAGGCAGCAGUGGGGAAUAUUGCACAAUGGGCGGAAGCCUGAUGCAGCAACGCCGCGUGCGGGAUGACGGCCUUCGGGUUGUAAACCGCUUUCGCCUGUGACGAAGCGUGAGUGACGGUAAUGGGUAAAGAAGCACCGGCUAACUACGUG